GGAAAAACCUGCAUAUUUCUGAAACGGUGUGUGUUAUGGUAUUUAACUCUCAUUAAUUUAGACGCCCACGGCAAUGUCUUCAAUUCGUGGAUCGAAUGGAUGAGGCGGUGUGCUUUCUAUAUAAAUAUAUCAAUCUUCUAAACUCUGAUUAGGCCGGCCGGAUUGGCGAAUGGCAUCUAGAUUGGCUCAAAAGUCUAUCUGAAUUGAUCCAAGAAUUUCUGGAACUGGGUCAUCGGGAUCAUCACUGACUGUUACAGUUCCUCUCGAGUCCCCAAUGUUUCAAAAUACUCAACUUAUAAAUUUGUUCUUCACCGGAGAACUUGGGAGAAGUUGGUGUUACCUCCUACUCUCGAUGAUGUUGCUCAGAUAAGAAGAACACAUGGAUCUAAACAAAAGUUUCCAUGCCACCGCUUCUGUCAUUAUGACUGAGUGAAUGUCUCCACCUUAUCUGUGAAACUUUACACUCCUUCCACCUAUAGCUUCGCCUCCUUCGAUAUCGUUUCAUCAUAGUGGUUGCUCAUUGAACGCAACAGCAACAUACACCGAUGACAUUCUGUCCGAGAGACAGAUCAAUGGCUCCCAUUGGUGAGGUGGAUGAGACGAAGAUAAAGGUUGCUUAUCAAGGUGUGAAUGUUUUCGGAACUGAUCUAUUUUUAAAAUUGGUUAUUCAGCAAAAUAUGAUUUUUCCGUGGGAUGUUGAUACAACUGGAUAGAAUUUUCUGUGUGUUCUAUUUAUUGUAUAACAUUUGUGUUUCUCUAAAUAAUUAGGUUUUAUAUUAUGUGUAAAUCAUUCUGUUUUGUGGU